GUGAUUAUUGUGAAGGAGUGUCAAUAAGUGUACUGGGACCACUUUCCCCUCGAAUACAUGUAAAAUGUAUGCCUAAACCAGCUCCACUUUGCCUCUGGAAGAUCAUCAUUACUGAUAAUCUCCCAGCCAAUUCAAUGCUAUAAUAGCACAAAGCAGUCCAAAAUCGCAUACCAGUUGCAGGGAAGGAGUUAGUACUGCGACACCAUCUGAGUCAUUCCGGGCAGGGAAAAUAUAAAAGGGGCAAUCAAUUUAUGCAUUUAAUUAUACAUUUAGGUUUUAUCUAAUAAGAGCUGGAAAAUCUUCAGUUCUCUUGUCUGCUGCAUUUGCAAGCCCUCCCCUUCUUCCUCAGUCCAGACUUUCUGUGGCUGUCCAAUCACAGACUUCCCAAUGCAGCUCAAUGUAAAAAUCUUUGCAAGGCAGGUGCUCCGGGCAAUAGCAACUUCUUGAGUUUAUCUGCACUGGGCUCACCAAACCAGGAAGUAGCAGAACUAGUUGUCUGAUUGAUAGCCAGGUUUGUGUAAACAGUCUAAUUUAUAAAAGUGAAAAUUUCUAUUGAAAUACACUAUUUUUGUAAAAGGAAAAAAUAUGACACACUCUUUACACAUAAAACAAAUUAAAGUGCUAUAAGUGUUUGAAGGUAUAUAUUUAAAUCUCUUUUUAUGUUGUUUUGAAUAUGUUUAUUGGUGCAUAGACAAAGCAGUCAUCCCACGCAGGGGAGACAAAUGUUUCAUAAGAAGCUUUCGACAUAAGCAUAUGCCACAGAGUGCGUUUCAUAUUAAGUUUUCGACAUAGGCAUAUGCCACAGAGUGCGUUUUAUAUCGAAUAAGAACAGUCAAAGCCUGGUAAGGCAAAUAGGUUAAAGUACGUGAUCAUAAGUAACAUAACUAAAAUAAGCUUUCGACAUGGGCAUAUGCCACUGAGUGCAUUUUAUAUCGAAUAAGAACAGUCAAAGCCUAGUAAGGCAAAAAGGUUAGAGUACGUGGCCACUAGUAACAUAACUAAAAUAAGUUUGCGACAUAGGCAUGUGCCACAGAGUGCGUUUUAUAUCGAAUAAGAACAGUCAAGGCCUAGUAAGGCAAAAAGGUUAAAGUACGUGAUCACAAGUAACAUAACUAAAAUAAGCUUUCGACAUGGGCAUAUGCCACAGAGUGCGUUUUAUAUCGGAUAAGAACAGUCAUAGCCUAGUAGGGCAGAAAGGUUAAAUUACGUGAACACAAGUAAUAUAACUAAGAUUAAGCAAAUAUCAUAUUGCAUAUCUGUUUUAACAUUAGCUAGGAGAGAUCAUUCUCUGCAUCUUAUUUUGCGGUCCGCAUAUGGUAGCAGUACAAUGUUUAGCUAACAUAUACAAUGCAGUAAUUAGGUAGGUAAAUAGGCAAUACUGAAACAUGAAAAACAUAUGGUAGCAAUUAAGAACAUAUCAACAUGCCCUUGCUGCUCAGUCAGUUGCUCAUCUAUUUGUACCGUCCUGCACAGUUUCGAUGUCUGUCUGGAGGGAAUCUCUCAUGGUGCUGCUUCCACACUGCCCCUGGGGUGCCUGGUCUCCUUCCCUCACCCCCAUGCCGAUCACCGCUCACCGGUCUGGUCCCCCACAGUUCCGUGGGCACUCGGGAGCUUAAACUGUCCGUUGGGCCCCACCACCAAAGUCCUCCGGCCGUCCACUCCCUGCACCUCCCCGGCCCCGCUUGGGUCCCUUGAGGAGUGUGUUCCUGCGUCUCGCCCGUCGCCGGCCGCAUGCUUGGAGCCGGUGACCGCCCCCCACGACCACCGGUCCGUCGAGGGGGCGGCACAGUCCUGCCCCACCGGGCUCACAGCGCCAGGGACUAGGCUUUCCGGGGACCCCUGACCCAUAUGCCCGGGCACACACCUCUCCCGUGGUCGAGGUCACGGCCUGGUGGAUCCGUCCGGCACCUGGCCCUGCCAGGGCCCGUGUGAGCCGCCCAUGUUGGUCCCUUCUGGUGCUCCAUGGUAUGUGUCCCUUUUUUUCGAGUGCAGUUGUCAGGCGGCUACGUUUAGGCAGCCUUUGCCUGUAUAGGAGUUCAGCAUAUUCCCCAGGUGGCUGUGUCCAGCCCGGGGCGUGCAGCCUCCAUGUGGCCGGGAUCACCCCCACCGGCCGGGGGGGGGGGCGGAGCGGGGCCGCGUCUCUCGCCCGUGUGGGUCCCCAUCGAUGUUCCUGGAGCCGGCAUGCUUGUUCCUCCCUACGUGCAGUUAGGUGUCGGUCUGCCGUAAGCUGCUGCCUAUGUUCAGGCUUUAAAAUGCCACGUAGGCCGGGUUCGUCCGACUGGGUGCUCCCGGUAUAUUUUUGGCCGUAGUUUGGUAUCGGAUGGAAGUCGGGGUAAAUCCCCUUGGCAUCCCGGUGAGCAAUCCCGCUUUGGGGCAGAUUAUGUCUGAAUUUUAUGCUGUUUUUCGGAGCUUGGCCCUGGAGCCUCGUUGCUCUGCUGCCAUGCAGCUUGGCGGCCCGGCCCCGCCCCCUCUCUUUUUAUGUUGAAACAACUCUUGAUUUCCACCUGCUAUGGUAUCCCCACAGGGUACCUGGGAUGCUGGGCUAACAUCAUGUGAAGAUCUAACUUGUAUAACCAACCCCUGAUGUAAGGUGUAUAGAAGCUAGUGUGACUCCUGAAACUAGGACAAAUUUAUGGAAAGUCUAAAUUAUUAAUAUAAAUGCAUGGGUUAAUAAAGUCCCAGCAAACUCACACAAGACGGUUUAUAGAUUUUAACUUUUAUUCAUAUUUCCAAUUAGAAAGUGGAUUCACCUUCUACAAACCAUGAAAAAGGUUUUAAUUUUUAUUUAUUUUAAAAACUGUGUACGAAUUACCCCUUUUCCAUAAAGAUAUUUUACUGAAUUUUGUAUUUAAAAUAUAAAAUAAGACUAUUCAACAAUCCAAACAAUUUAUAACAUUUGAAUAACCAAUGUCCUCUGAAUGUUCCCAUUUUUGUUGCUGUAUUUAUAUCUUAGCUAAUUAAAAAUAACAAAUCAACAUCCCAAUCUAUUUCUAAACCAACAAAUUGCUUUGUUCUAGACAUUAGUCCUUUAGGCGUCAAACCCAUAGGUGUUUCUGUCAUAAUAUGCUGGAUAAAAGUCUGCUGUAGUGGUUAUGGUGGUGUAGGGCUCUUUUAAAUCCUGUAACAUCAUUGUAGGUAUUGAAUUAUGUCAAUGUGUUAAAAUAGCAAACCUUGAGUUGUCUACAAGGAGAGGACAAAUACUGUCAUGCAAAUGUAACUAUAUUGUGACUAAGGUCAUGUCACCAUAGAUAUGACAAGUUCUGUAACUGACUCACCCCCACCCAAAGCCAAUGGCAUACACCCACAACCAAAAAGUCUAGACUGUAGGCUUUACGUCGAUGCUGUAUCAUUGGUCUGCAGUGAUGUUUAAAGGGAAUGGCUUUGGAUUUAUAACACACCCACAGAUCACAAGAUGUGCCUGACAAAUAUAUUUUCAAUAACCGUUACAAAGGCAACUCCUGUUUCCCCCACUGUUGUGUUCUUUCUGGUAAACACUGUCGUCGUCGCUGUUAAUGAUGUCUUUCAGGGUCAAUCUCUUCCGUUUCUAUUUACUGAUGAUGCGUUUUGUAUUUGUGAUGUGUAAAUUUCAAAUGUGAUUUAUUGGUUUGUAAGUGCAUGUCAUACAUACCAUUGAAAAUAUUUUUCUAAGCUAGACAUGGGGUUUUUACAAAUGCAUUGGAGUAAAUGUUGAAAUUUUUUUUUUUUUCUGACGUGUUAAUGAGAUUAUUUUUUGUAAAAGUAUUGUUUCUUAAAACGUGUUAAAAGUGAACAAAAUUAUAUUUGCUGUCAAUAAAAGUCUAC